UAAAGAACCUACCUUAUAGACAGGGACAACUAUUGGAAACGAUAGCUAAUACCUGAUAAGAAAGAAACUCGCAUGAGAGAAGUUCGAAAGUCGGAGCAAUCUGACACUAUAAGAUGGCUUUGCGGUGCAUUAGCUAGUUGGUAGGGUAAAAGCCUACCAAGGCGACGAUGCAUAGCCGACCUGAGAGGGUGAUCGGCCACAUUGGGACUGAGACACGGCCCAGACUCCUACGGGAGGCAGCAGCC
rnacentral:rRNA from 1 species